rnacentral:rRNA from 1 species
AUGAACCGAAAAUUCCUGUACAUGACGGCCAUGAACGUCAAAAGGAGUUCAUACACUCUGCACCGCAUCAAGGCGUCACAAUUGUUUUACCCCAAUGGUGCACCUGACUCCGCGCUUGCGGCGGUGGAGGACCGUUCUGUGCCGCCACCAACAAUGUCUUUCCACUCUCCUCGGAACAAGAUCGUCUGCACAGACGAGAGAGGUCGAGCCGUCUUAUAUGAUGACGGCCUGCAAGCUGUCCGCAUGUUGCCAAGCCUCAAAAAGGCCAAGUGGCAAUCAGUGCCCCUCGCCGUUGGUGACAACCUGUUGGUCAUGGAGGCGAUCCCUAAGAACGAUCAAGAGAAGUUACAUCAAUCUUUCGAGGCGCUGAUGUAUGGCGAAUGGCCUAAAAUGUUCAAGGGGGUGGACUUUUUCUGGCACUCCAUCCCCCCGCCGCCUUAUGUCUAUGCCCCUGGCUAUGGUGAUGACCGUUCUGGUGUGAUCACCGCGUGCACUGUGGUCAAUAGCUCAAGCAUCUUGAUAUCCACAGAGAGCCUCGGCACCUACUGCUUGGACACGGUGAGCGGCAAGUGGGGCAAGACUGGUGCCUGGCCGCUGCCAUUUAAAGGCCUUGCAGAAUAUGUUCCGGAGUACGAUCUCUGGUUCGGUGUCUCGGCAAAGGGGGGUGGCGUCCUCUGCGCAUCAGACCUGGGUGCUGCCUUGGCAAAGCAGACGCCGCCGCCGGUAUUCCAAGAGUGGGAGGGAUUCGCUGCCCCUGAGGGUACCGAGCUAGGAUCGCACCUGCUGCACCUAGGUGCUGGUCGUUUCUGUGUCGCCAAGUUGAUCAUGACAACAAGGCCGCAAGAGACGUGCUGCCAGAUGUGCUGUUUCCAUGACACUACUGCCAUUGUCGACAAGUUAGUGAUGUUUACCGGCGUGGAGAUUCAUCGCUGUGGCAGAGGGCUUAAGGUGAUCAAGCACAAAUCGUUUCGUUAUAGUAUGGGGCCAUGCAGCAUGGCCAAGAUACUUUAUUAG